UGUUUGAAAGUAAACAAGCCAAUAAAAAAUAAAAUGCCAGCAAUAACCUAAAUUUCAGAGAAACUAGUGUCCCCUCCCUUCGGGGGUCAACGCCUUCAGGAACGAUCCCGAGCACAAGGCGCACCACCGCGGUUUUACUGCCCCGAACUUUGCAUGUUUCUACGAGGCCGAGCAUCUACAGCCUGACCCUGGACCUGCGGCUGCCAGCCAGGCAGGUACCAAAGCUGAAUCCUGUUCUAACACCUCCAGAGGAAGGUUUUGGCAGCUGAGCUGAACCCACUACCACACAGGCUCAAUGUCCUCCACCCAGGAGCACCCCUCCACUUCUGCUGCACUGCCCAUCUCCAGAUUCCUCAAAGUCUGCUUUGCUUUCGCAAUGGGGACCUAUACCAAGACCAAAUCCAACUGUAUGCUCCUCUGGAACCAACUUUACAUCCAUUAUAAGCUGCAUUUGCAACACUGUUCGCUCUGCAGCCACACAUAACUUCCACAAACAGCAGGCUCCUCUGGGCCUUGUCGGGCUCCUCUUUCAUAGGCCUGCCUAAAGUCUAGACUCAUGCUGGACUAACUCCGUUGGCACCGUGACCAGACAGAAGUGGACCAAUGCCUUGAUCAAAGACAGCAAAUGUUCUUCUAAGCAUGCUGUUCCUAAGGAUGGAAGUAAAAACAUGCAUGAACGUUUCCCCUUUACAUUACCGGAAAGGAAACUGAGGAGUGAUUAGUACAAUAAACUCCAACCGUAACGUAAAUGUGCACUGAACAGCAUGAGUAGAAAGCAGUGUAUAGGAUCCAUCGUGGGGCAUAUAAAAUCGAGUUAAACAGAUAUUUUCUGGUUUAGGGUUUGUUUUUUCUUUCUCCUUAAAAAUUAUCUAGGUCUCCUCCUACUGAAGUUUUACAUUUUUAUAACUGUAGUAAGUGCUCACAUCCUUUCCACCACUGAAGCUGAGAAACUCUAUUGAUGACACAUAGCCUAAACCAACUUGUUUUUCUCAGUUCCCAGCACUCUGUUACAAUUUAAUUUGUUUAGGAUAAACUGUUGCUUUUAUUGACAGCAAAGUAACAUACAUGGCUCAUAGUUAUUAUUUAGGUAAAUCUGGAAGAGUGUUUGGUGCUUUGCCUUCAAGAAACUCAAGGAAAAGUCAUUUGUUUCCUAUGAACUCUGUCAUACUUACUCCUUUCCAGAAUGGCUUUAAAAACUGAAAUUUCUUAAAUUGAGAAUAUCUUUUCUCUUAUUGAUUCCCAUCUACCAUUGUUAUGGCCAGGAUUUCCCUGUCGCAUUAGAAUCAUCUGCUGACCAUCACAGUUACUUAUGUGUCUUUCUGAGUUGGUACAAAGCAUGAACGCAACAUACUGUGUAAGUACUAUUUUUUAACUCCAUCCACAUCACAGCAAUGAUGCAGCAAAGACUACGCUAUUUAUCUCUUGCUCUGCUGAGAUCAUAAACUGGUUUAGCUGAUAUUUCAUCAAUUACCAAGCGUACAUUUAUCAAAAUAACAAUGAAUAUUAGAUUAGUCAUAGCUUUCCAUCUCAGACUUGAGAACUGAUCUCUCUUUCCUCAUCUGAAGAUAAAUUUAGAUUGAUUUCUGAGAGAGAUGGGAGUGCUCAGAUCUCAGCCAGCAAAAAAUUUAUAGGAUAGAUGGACCAGCAACACUUCAUUUCAAAGCCUGUCCCCAGACAACAAAUAUCCAGCAUGUCAUCUAAGUGUUGUAGGUAGUUUGACCUGCUGUUGUGGUCAAAAAGAUGACAGACAUUCUUUAGAAGGAGGAGUGGUCUAUAUUUCUUCUUUAUGUCAUAAAAUGAAUUGUCACAACAUUUUGAAAAUAUUAUUGAUUUUUGUAAUUGUAUGAGACUAUAUUGCAUGUUUAUGCUUCUUCGCUCUUUUUCUUAAUGAGAACAACAAGGCUUAUGGUUGGCAUGAGAGCACUAAAAUCUAUAUUAGAUAUUGCCAGUCACUACUGGGAGUAGAUUCUUGUGCUGCACAGCAACCACUGCAUCAUCAAUGAUGGUGGUAGAGUCCAAACGUGUUUGUGGUUUUCCUGCACAAAGAACACCUCACACUUGGGAUCAUCUUCAAAGUAGGAAACGUGUUUUUCCUUGAUCGUUAGUACCGCAUCACUGGACAAGGUCUUAGUUAUUCCCUGGUUAUUUGGUUUAUGCUACUGACAUCCUCUCUCAGAACUGGCUUUAAACCCUUGGUAAUACAACAUCUACACACAUAAUGAAUGAAUUCAAAGUGAGGGACAGCAUGACCUCAUGACUGCUCCCGUAGUGCACUGUCAUUGCUAUGCCUGCAUUAUACAGGGCAAACCACUUUUUUAAUGCAUGGCUAAGUCAGAGCCCUUCUAGGAGAAGAAAUUGCCUUUGCUUUUACAGACAAUUUUAUCACUACAGUAAGGCAAAGGAGUUGCUUUUCUCAGAGGAAGGUGCUCACUCUUUUACUACUAGCACAUAGCUGGCAAAUUGAAUGCAAUUAACUCUUCUUCUGCUGUUCUAGUUUUAUCUGGCUUGAGUGACAUAAAGAAAAGCUCAAGCCUAGGAGCAGGCCUUACAGUGUAGUUUUAAAUGUAUUUCUUUUCUGUGAUUAGAGAGAGGUGGCACACAGCAGUGUAAUGUGUCCACACCUUGCAGGAUGCAACUGCUGGGCUGAAUGGUGCACAUUCCCUCCAUUAGCACGCAACUGCUGUGAUAGAAAAUGUGUGCCUUGGCUUUACAUUGGUAGGGAAGCAAACUGCAAAACUAACCACUUACAUGGGAAAACAAACCAAAAAAAUGUGUAAAAUAGUAUUUUGUUAUCCUUUAAAAAAAAAAAAAAAAAGCCUGUGUCUGAAUUUAAAGCAAGCGGGAGACGCUGAAGUUCCAAGAUAAAUUUUUACAGAAUAUUGGAUAUCUGAGAAAAAGUGAUUAAUCACUGUAUCAUCACAAUCUCUCCAAAGGUCAUCCCAGUGCAAACUUUAGACAUUUCUGCCAUCACCCUCAUCUAGGACUCAUCAAGCCAAGCCAAACAACAAAAUUCAAAUACUGCACUGAUUACCUCUUCAGGGAACUUUGUUUUUGAAGACUUAUAAGCAAUACUGAGCUCUGAACCAUUAACUUGGGCUUUGUGAAGAAAGGGUUGCUUUCUUUGGAAGAUGGCACACCACCGUCCAGGUGAAAUUCAAUAGAAAUAGAAUCAGUAUUCUAGAAGGCAUGUUGGCUGCUUCAGAUGGUGUUAAACUUACGUUAAAAAGAAAGGUGAAAAGGAGACAAAAAUGAAAGUAUUGAGAACAAAAUAGAAUCUCCAAUAGGCAUGAAUAGAAGAGAUGCUUUAAUUGACUAUGUAGAAGGAGCAUAACUGAUAGAAAAAGUGUUGGAAUUGUUGAUUUAUGAGCAUAAAUUCAAUGGUGCUGAAUAUUACUGUAAGCUUGUAACAUGAUUUGCAUGACUGGAGUGUAGAAAAUUGGCUGUAGUCUGCUUAGAAAGGGAAAAGUGCACAAAAAAAAGGAAAAAAUCAAAAUACGGUUCUGUGUGUCAGCGUUACUGACAUCUCAGGAAAGGUUAUUUGAAUGUUUAUGGAUUGUGUUUUAAUGUUUAAAACAUAAAAUGAAGCAUUUAGUGCCUACUGCAAACCUCACAUCAUAUGAAAGAACAAAAUGACAAGAUCCUUAAGUAUCUUUUACAAAGAAAGAGAAAGCUGCUAUCACUGAGCCUUCACCUUGAAUGACAUUAUUCUGCCAAUAGUGUAACAUCCUGUAAAUAUCUAAAAAUUACAGGUGACAAGUCAAAAAGUUAACCUUGAGCAGGAGGAUUCUAAAUGUGACCUCAUUUUAACACAAGGAGAGGGAAAGCUCACUCCAACUGGAAUCUAAAAUCUGAGUGUUUGCUGUGCCUAAGUUUUGGAAAUUGGAGCCCAGAAUAGAAUCCAGAAACUAAAAAUGGGUACAGCCUAUGAAUUCGAAACAUUUCUUUUAGAGAAGUUUUGCAGUCUGUGUUAUGCAAAAAGAUCACACGCUAUCUCCCUGGAGUUCAAAUGCAUAAGCUUUCCUAUGAGGAAGAAAAUGAUAACUCAUUUGCUGUCAAGACAAAAAGAAGUGUAUACAGCUUUUUAAAUACCAGAAAGAUAUACGACAGUUAAAAUUAUCAGACUGAAAACGUAUGAAAAUAUUCGGAAAAGCUAAAAGCCCUGUUUUGUUUCUCUUUUUCAUUCAUCUUCUCAUUGGUACUAGUAAGGAAUGUGAAGUAAAUCCAGAAGAGAUUUCUAACUGAAGCAAUAAAGGUACAGGAAUCAAGAAUUCUCAAAACCAGUUUCCCUAAGUAGGCAUGAUGACUAACAUACUUUUACAGGCAUCAGCACUUCCAAGCAAAAAUUCCACAUUUUUUUUUGGACACAGGAGAACUGCUUGCUGCUGUGAUCAUAUUGGCUGUAGUGGCAGGAGAAUUCAUGUGUAAGUGCCAGACGUGGAAGAAUUUGUUCCUUCACUGGCAGGAGUUAUGCAGUGAUCUGCAGUGCUGGGAAGUACACUACCUCAUUCUGGAAUUUAACUCUUUGCCCACAAAUCACCACAUGGUGCAAUUAAUUUUUUCAAUGAUUAUUAAAUCACUUUAUUGCAGAUUCUCUUCUUUUUAUCUUUUCUUUUUCUUUUCUUCCCCCUCCCCCAAUAAUCCCUUGAUUGCUAACCCUACUGUUUAGGCACUUGCUUCUUUUCACUAUACAAAAGGUUAAUUUUGACAUUUUCUUCUGCUGUUGACAUCCUGUGAAACAAAAUUGGAUUGCUAAAUGCCCCCCUGGAGAGAUGAGGCUGUACCACUGCCAAAAUGGACCUCUGUAUUCUAGAAGAAACUAGCCUAGAAUUGAAAUGGUAGUGCACACAGUGGAGGCUGUCCUCCCUGCCAAAGCCCUGCUAUGGCUCCAAGAGCUCACUGGGCAAGCACAGCACUGUGUGUGGGCAUUCAGCACAUGAAACAGCUUCAAGAGGACCUUUACUCUGUAACUGUAGAAAUAAAACAUCAAGGAAGGUUAAUCAACUCAUUGGCAAGAAGGAUCAGUCUCACUAAGGUGGUAACUACCUUAGCACUUGGAUUGAACAUCUGUGUGCAGGCUUGGCAAUGAAAUGUUUUUCGUAUUGAAAUGCUCCACUAGGGAAAAAUUCCCUUGCUAAUGAAACAAAACUGCUUCAAUAGGUUCUUAGCUCCGACACUGACACUGUGGAACCAUAGCCCCAGUGAGUUAGCUCCUGUGCUGCUGACACAGAACAGAAAUCAUUGUGCUGAGGAGUUAAUUCCCACCUGAAAAACAAGCAUUUACUAGAAUAAGGAAGCAAAAUUACUUGCCUGUAGGAAAGUGAUGUACUUACUCACCGAUGCAAUUCAACCUUUGCAAUGUAACUUUAUUUAUACUCUCGAAGUUGAAAAAUUAUCUUAUGAAAAGACAAGAGAUUUCAGUGUGUGUGUGUGUGUGUGUAUGUGGUCCAUAAACUGAACAAACGUGAUCAUAUUGCCAAGACUCAUAGUUACCCACCCAAAGAUAGGUAACUCACAUGUGAGUCUGUGGUUCAAGUUUAUGAGUAACACAAGUUCUGAUGAAUGUUUUAAUCAGAAAAAAAUAAUUCACUGCAACAGACUUCGUGAAAUCAUAAGUUAAAAAGGCGAAAUUAUAAUUCAUGUGGCAUUCUGUAUGUAUGCAAAAUUCACUUAUUUCCAUGUAAAUGAGGCAGACAGAGGAAAAGCAAUGAGCAAGAGAGAGAGAUAACCCUGUCUAGUUUUUCCUGUCAAGCACAAGCAUCUUUCAAUGUACGACUGCACUAAAAUCUUUAAGUCAGGGAUUAGGGAUUCUGUCUUUGCUGUACCAUUUAAACUCUGGAUAUCCAUAAGAUUAUCUUUCAUUAGAAUUUUGCCUAGCAUGUCCCUCAAGACUGAUAUAUUGUACACCGUCACUUAGACUGUAUGGGACUUUGGUCCCCAAUGUGUCAUUUGCCUACCUCACUGGGAAAUAAGUGGGAAUUAAAUUCAAAAAAAUGAAUAUGAACUAGCUUUAUUUCAAAAAUAAAAAGAAUGUUUAGGCUCCUGAGUUUCAUCAGCUUUCAAUGGAUGCUGGGGACUUUCUUGCCUUCUCUGCCUUGACAAUUUCCUCUGAGGUUUCAAUGUCGACCAUGAAUAUAAAACCAAAAGCUCUAUAGAAGAUCUACUGCAGCCAGAAAUCUGUAUGAAUAUAAUGACUUUACAAAAUAUCUCAAGAGACUGAAUAAUCUUGCUGCAGGACAAAGACAGAAAAAAAAGAAAGUCAGUGGAUUUGGAGUGAGAAAUAUGUAUGUAAUAUUUGAUCUGUGUUAUUUUAAAACAGCUACAAAAUAUGAUUCAUACUAACCUAGGACUGGAUUACCAAUCAGUCAGCCUAACCUCUUCCAGGUCCUGGAAUAUGUAUUACAUAGUCCUGUCUAUAAAAUGAUCACUUUAACAUCAGAAUUUUUGCUGUAUCUUUUUCUAUUCAAAUAAUGUUGAAUGUGUUAGCUUAAAACUAUAUAAAUUCUGCAUUAUUUAUGACAUAAUUAAAUAUGUCCUGAUAGAUAUUGGUAACUUUUUCUUAAGGGCUAUCAAAUAAACAACAGCUACUAAGUAAG